UGCUCAGUAGUUCAGUGGUAGAAUAAUUGACUGUUAAUCAAGAGGUCGUAGGUUCGAACCCUACCUGAGCAGCUA
rnacentral:tRNA from 1 species